AAGCCAGCAGUUGUAACGUAUACUUUGGCAGGAAAUGAUCAAAAAAAGUUGAGGCUGAACAUUCUAGACAAAGCUUAGAAUUCACACGUGUGGGGCUGCUGGUUGGGAAAAGAGCUAUUAUUUUGGACAGCAGAAGUGAAGUGUUUCCACUCACCAACUGCACCUGCUGGUUUGAGCUGGGGCUCCCUUUGUUUGCUGAAAAGGAGAGGAUAAGACAGAUAAGAGCCUGAUAAAGCUUGCUAGUGUAAAAGGAACAUUUCCUAUAAUGAUGGCUUUGAGAAUUCCUGACAUAUUUGAACAGAAGACAGAGGAACAACUCUCCCUCCUUAAUCACCAUGGAUCUAAUUGCAAUCCCCAACUUUGAUGGGCCAUCAUGUUGCCACUAGAAUUUGAAGAACUCAGAGACGCCAAAUUCAUCUAAUGUUUUUGAUGAGGGUUAUGUCACUGUGGAACAACUUUGAGAAAGUCUUCGGUAGUGGAACCAAACUUGUUGUCACAGAUAAAAUCUUUAAUGCAGACAUUUACCCCAAGCCCACGAUUUUUCUUCCUUCAGUUGCUGAAACAAAUCUCCAUAAUGCUGGGACAUAUCUUUGUCUUCUGGAGAACUUUUUCCCUGAUGUUAUUAAGGUAUAUUGGAAAGAAAAUGGAGGUUAUAGGAUUCUGGAAUCCCAUCAGGGAAAUACCAUGAAGACUAAGGACACAUACAUGAAGAUGAGCUGGCUAACCGUGACUGGAGAGUCAAUGGAUAAAGAGCACAAGUGUAUUGUCAAACACGAGAAUAAUAAAAGAGGAGUUGAUCAAGAGAUUCUCUUUCAUGCAAUAAGGAAAGUUGUCACCACUAUGAAUCCCAGAGAAGCCGAUUUGAAAGUUACAAAUGCUGUCACCACUAUUAAUGCCAGAAAAGCUGAUCUGAAAUGUGAAAGUGUUGUCAAUACUACUGAAUCUGAAGCUUAUUUAAAAGAUGCACUAAAGCUGCAGCUCACAAACACCUCUGUCUACUGGACCUACCUCCUCUUACUCCUCAAGAGUGUGGUCUACUUGGCCUUCAUCACCUUCAGUCUGCUAAGAAAAACAGCUGUCGGUAGAAAUGGGAAGAGUACCUAACAAAUGGUGGCACAACGGAGUUGUGUUGUGUUCUUGGUUUAUUGUCCUGAAGAGUGUCUGCCGAGAACCUGGCUAGGUUUGCUUGCUGGGUUACAGCUCCUUGGGUUCUCACCUGUAUAAUUCUGUCACUAUUGCAGUAAGGGUUUCUCUAACCAGUGGGCAAAUGGAGCAUCUUCACUCUGUAACAAUGAGUAGCACUUAGUGGCACCUAGUCCCUGUGUUUCUAGUCCCUAUCAGCCCCUCCAGCCAGCCCAAUCAUCUCAACCUUCGUGGGGCCAAUGGACAGCUUCUAGACACAUCCCUUAGUGCCCUUUAACCAGAGACCACCUUAAAGCCUUCCAUUCCACACAUCCUGAAAUUGCCUUCUUUGCUAUUUGAAUUCUGUUCUUUAUUUUUCAUAAUAAACACAACAGUCUACUUUGG